UGGUUUGAUCAUGGCUCAGGAUGAACGCUAGCUACAGGCUUAACACAUGCAAGUCGAGGGGCAGCAUUUUAGUUUGCUUGCAAACUAAAGAUGGCGACCGGCGCACGGGUGAGUAACACGUAUCCAACCUGCCGAUAACUCGGGGAUAGCCUUUCGAAAGAAAGAUUAAUAUCCGAUAGUAUAUUAAAACCGCAUGGUUUUACUAUUAAAGAAUUUCGGUUAUCGAUGGGGAUGCGUUCCAUUAGUUUGUUGGCGGGGUAACGGCCCACCAAGACUACGAUGGAUAGGGGUUCUGAGAGGAAGGUCCCCCACAUUGGAACUGAGACACGGUCCAAACUCCUACGGGAGGCAGCAGUGAGGAAUAUUGGUCAAUGGACGAGAGUCUGAACCAGCCAAGUAGCGUGAAGGAUGACUGCCCUAUGGGUUGUAAACUUCUUUUAUAUGGGAAUAAAGUAUUCCACGUGUGGGAUUUUGUAUGUACCAUAUGAAUAAGGAUCGGCUAACUCCGUGCCAGCAGCCGCGGUAAUACGGAGGAUCCGAGCGUUAUCCGGAUUUAUUGGGUUUAAAGGGAGCGUAGGUGGAUUGUUAAGUCAGUUGUGAAAGUUUGCGGCUCAACCGUAAAAUUGCAGUUGAAACUGGCAGUCUUGAGUACAGUAGAGGUGGGCGGAAUUCGUGGUGUAGCGGUGAAAUGCUUAGAUAUCACGAAGAACUCCGAUUGCGAAGGCAGCUCACUAGACUGCAACUGACACUGAUGCUCGAAAGUGUGGGUAUCAAACAGGAUUAGAUACCCUGGUAGUCCACACAGUAAACGAUGAAUACUCGCUGUUUGCGAUAUACAGUAAGCGGCCAAGCGAAAGCAUUAAGUAUUCCACCUGGGGAGUACGCCGGCAACGGUGAAACUCAAAGGAAUUGACGGGGGCCCGCACAAGCGGAGGAACAUGUGGUUUAAUUCGAUGAUACGCGAGGAACCUUACCCGGGCUUAAAUUGCAUUUGAAUAAUCUGGAAACAGGUUAGCCGCAAGGCAAAUGUGAAGGUGCUGCAUGGUUGUCGUCAGCUCGUGCCGUGAGGUGUCGGCUUAAGUGCCAUAACGAGCGCAACCCUUAUCUUUAGUUACUAACAGGUCAUGCUGAGGACUCUAGAGAGACUGCCGUCGUAAGAUGUGAGGAAGGUGGGGAUGACGUCAAAUCAGCACGGCCCUUACGUCCGGGGCUACACACGUGUUACAAUGGGGGGUACAGAAGGCAGCUACCUGGUGACAGGAUGCUAAUCCCAAAAACCUCUCUCAGUUCGGAUCGAAGUCUGCAACCCGACUUCGUGAAGCUGGAUUCGCUAGUAAUCGCGCAUCAGCCAUGGCGCGGUGAAUACGUUCCCGGGCCUUGUACACACCGCCCGUCAAGCCAUGAAAGCCGGGGGUACCUGAAGUACGUAACCGCAAGGAGCGUCCUAGGGUAAAACUGGUAAUUGGGGCUAAGUCGUAACAAGGUAUCC
rnacentral:rRNA from 1 species